AUGAGAUUCUGCCCUGGACCUGAAAUGGUCAGCAGGCUCUUCUUCUGGGUGGCUCUUUGUCUCCUGUGGGCAGGAAACCUGGAUGCCCGAAUCACCCAGAGCCCAAGAUACAAGAUUGCAGGGACAGAAAAGAAUUUGACAGUGAGUUGUCACCAGACUGAUAACCAUGACUAUAUGUACUGGUAUCGCCAAGACCUGAACCAUGAGCUGACGCUGAUCUAUUACUCAGUUGGUGCUAGGCUCACCACCAAAGGAGAUGGUGCCAAUGGGUACAGUGCCUCUAGAUCAAAUACAGAGAACUUUGCCCUCACACUGGAGUCAGCGACCCCCUCACAGACAUCUGUGUACUUCUGUGCCAGCAGUGAAUACACAGUGCUGCAUAGCUGCCUCCUCUCUGCACAAAAAGGAUGGUUAGAAAACCUGAGGUUGCACUCUGAGGCUUGGCUAAACCCCGGGAAGUUCCUGCCAGCACAGGACUCUUACAGCCGUGGGCAUCAUGGCCCUCAGGGCUGA